rnacentral:rRNA from 1 species
GAUGAACGCUGGCGGCGUGCCUAACACAUGCAAGUCGAGCGGAAAGACGCGGAUCGUGCUCCUCUGACGUUAGCGGCGGGCGGGUGAGUAACACGAGCAUACCCUGCCUAUGGGACUAGGAUAAGUAAGGGGGACCGAAGCUAGUACCGGAUAAUAUAUUGAACGGCGGGGUUCGAUAGUGACAGCGGUUUUUGCUGUAACUGCGAGAUAGAACCGGGUCGGAUUAGCUAGGUCGUACGGAAACGGCUUACCGAGGCGACGAUGCGUAGCCGACCUGAGAGGGUGAUCAGCCACACUGGAACUGAGACACGGUCCAGACUCCUACGGGAGGCAGCAGUAGGGAAUCUUGGGCGAUGGGCGAAAGCCUGACCGAGCAACGCCGCGUGAGUGAAGAAGGUCUUCGGAUCGUAAAACUCUGUUAGUAGGGAAGAACGAUUGUAUAAGUAACUAUGCAUGUCUUGACGGUACCUACAGAGAAAGCCCCGGCUAACUACGUG